ACGAACGCUGGCGGCGUGCCUAAUACAUGCAAGUUGAGCGCUGAAGGUUGGUACUUGUACCAACUGGAUGAGCAGCGAACGGGUGAGUAACGCGUGGGGAAUCUGCCUUUGAGCGGGGGACAACAUUUGGAAACGAAUGCUAAUACCGCAUAAAAACUUUAAACACAAGUUUUAAGUUUGAAAGAUGCAAUUGCAUCACUCAAAGAUGAUCCCGCGUUGUAUUAGCUAGUUGGUGAGGUAAAGGCUCACCAAGGCGAUGAUACAUAGCCGACCUGAGAGGGUGAUCGGCCACAUUGGGACUGAGACACGGCCCAAACUCCUACGGGAGGCAGCAGUAGGGAAUCUUCGGCAAUGGACGAAAGUCUGACCGAGCAACGCCGCGUGAGUGAACAAGGUUUUCGGAUCGUAAAACUCUGUUGGUAGAGAAGAACGUUGGUGAGAGUGGAAAGCUCAUCAAGUGACGGUAACUACCCAGAAAGGGACGGCUAACUACGUG
rnacentral:rRNA from 1 species